UCCGCGCGGCGGCUCCUGCUCCUGAGGCAGYCGCCGCCGCCCUCUCCCUCCGGAAACGCAUUCCUCCCGGGCCGCGUCAGCCAAGCCUGAGGCGAGGAGGAGAAGGAGGCUGGGAGACCCGGGCCUAGACAAAGGAGCGGGCCCGGACAAGAGUGGGCCUGGGGAGGCGACGGAGGCCKGGGGAGGGACACUGUGGAAGCCUUGGCUGUGCCUCUGUAGCCUUCUCUGCCAAGGGAGGGAGGUGUUGGGGAGUGACCCACGCUCCGCAGGCCCUUGGUGGAGUUGGGGGCUGGAAAAARAACAUUUAGAAGAAAAGGGAAACACUCAUUAUGAGAUUGACUGGGCACAUUUUGAUUAUAGAGGAUUGAAAUCUGUACCAACCAACAUCAUACUGAAACCUGGUAAUACAGACUAUGUGGCUGGCAAGCUGCCAUCAGCUGUGUGCUUCAUGCCAGGAGAAAGCAGAAAAAUGGAGAGGUCCCAGAUGCUGUUCUGUGAUCUGCUGGUCAGUCAAUGUUGAAGUAAAUGGCUGGAGGUUGGUGGCCAAAAGCCAGUUCACUAAAAAUCCACCCAGUGCAAGUCAAUUUCCUAUAAGGCUGAUUUACUAGAUGUGAAAUACUUAGAAAUAGUUUACUGUUUCUCAUUUCGUCUUAUAAAAUCAUUUAAGGGAUAUUAAAAUAGUCUCUGACCCAGUUCCUUAUUGCUAUAAUUGAAGAAUGAUUUUGAUGAACUGUCCUCAAGAAGUCACCUUAUUUCUUAUUAUGAGAGCUAAUUAUUUCCUAUUGUUAAAACCAAUUGAAUAUUAAAUCCAGGUUGUUUCUUAGUGGUAACUGAAACUGUACCAAUAAAGUACAUGUAGAAUGGGAGAGAGAGGAAAAAGAAAAUUAUUUUGGGGUUGUGGAAGUGAGAAUGCAGUUGAUUUGUUCUUAUUAUUAUGUUCUUUGGGCUUUUCUGUAUUUUCAAAAUUUUUCAUAAUAAACAUAUAUUGUUAUUAUGGGUAAAGUAGAAAGGUAUUAACACCGAGGUUACAUGAUAUAAUUGGUAUAAGUACCAACCCCAGAGAGUUAUUAGAUCAUUGAGAAUUCUCAUCUGGUUCCACUUAGUGACAUGGUAGGUGGGCAAGUGGGCUUCCCAGAGGACAAGGGAGUGGAUUAAUCCUAGAAGAAUGAGCAUGCAGAGGUUAAGUAGGAAGAGGUGAUGGUCAGGACCUCUAGAUCCAUUGUUUUUUUUUGUUGUUGUUGUUGUUGUUUCUGAUUUGAUUGAGGAGAACCAAAGGACCUUCUUCRUAAAAUUUAUUGUUUCUUUCAUGCCUUAUGCUCUGCAAAUAUGUAAUCUUCUUUCAUCAUCACAUGAUUCUUGAAAGCAGAUAUUAUUAUCUCCAUUUUGAAGAGAUAUUGAGAUAGAGAUUUAGGAUUAAGAGAGAGAAAUACCAGAUCUUAAAGGAAGCACUCACAAGCCAUUGAGAUGUAGAAGGCACAGUUGUAAAUCUUGAGCAACGCGCCCUUGGCCUGUGCCCUUAGCCCAUGCCCUUGCAAAAUGAGGGAAAUAAGCAAGGGCAAGGAAAACCUGUGUGAAAUUGUGUAGCUCCACCUGGAUCCACCUCCAGUCCAGUUCCUGAUAUAGUCCUUUUAUAAAUAUUGGACCCUCAUCCCAAGGCAGGGCUGCUUCUCACUCUGGAAACAGUCUGCCUUCUCCCUUGAAUGUAUCUGCCGUCCUCAAAGUCUAWGCCUUUGUCUGGCUCAGGCUGAAAUUCUUUUCUGUUUUAUAUGCAAAGAAUUCCACUGGACUUGAUUUGAAUACCUCUUUCUUCUGGGAACUCCUAAGACGCUUCUCUGGAGAUAUCUCUUCUGUCAUAUAACAGUAGAAACUUAAAGUCAAAAUUACACAUAGUUAACAGACUGAAACUGUGUGAGUUUAAUGCAAGUCUGACAUUAAACAUUAUGUUCAGUUAUCCUCAUAGAUGAACCUAUUAGGAGUGAAAAAUCAUAUAUCAGGUAGAACUAAAAACAGACAAAAAACUGUUGUGGUGUAAGUGACAAAAAUCAACUCAAAGCACUUAAAUAAAAAAUGGAAAUUUAUUGUCUUAACAUAGCUAGGAAAGAAUACAGUAAAUUUGCAUCUUGACUGGGUCUCAGGAUAAAGACUAUGUCCUGUACAGGAGACUUUGAAAGAUUUUUUUUUCCCCUACCAAAAAACACAGGAUCCCCAGACUGCAAACAGAAGAGCAUAGAAUGUGCUUCUAUGAUGCCACUGCUCACCUGUUGUUCCCUACCUCAAAGCCUGAGGUCCCAAAGCAGCAACUGUUCCAAUAAAACUAAGUCAGGUUGGUCCAUAAA